GUGCUCUCCAAGUCGCACCUUAUUAAAUCCUCACAACACCUCGGCAAGGAUGCACCUGCUUUCCCAGUUACAGAUCAAGAAACCGAGACUCAAAGAGAGUAAGCAACUUGCCCAAAGUCAUAAAGAGUAGAGAUGAAGUUUGAAUCCAGCUCUGGUUCCAACAGUAACACUGGCUCCUCAAACUUCCAACCCAAGGAACGGUUUCUGCCAAGAAAAUGUGCCUUAGGAGAUGAGACUACCAGUGGAGCAGAAUUCCGGCAGUUCUCCAGGGGCUGCCUGUCACGAGGGCACUCAAGCUGCCUGCAGAGAGGCCCAUACGGGGAGCAUCUAAGGUCCCGCCAACAGCUGGCACCAACUUGCCAACCAUCCGGGAAGAAGACCCUCCAGCCCCAGUCAAGCUUGCAAAUGGCUGUGGCUCUGGCUGAUGUCUCAACUGCAACCUCUUGAAAGACUCCAAGCCAGAAUGUUCCUGAAUUUCUGACCCCCCAAGACUGUGAGAUAUAUUAAAUGUGUAUUGUUAUUUUAAAUUUCUACGUUUUGAUUUGUUACAUAGCAA
rnacentral:lncRNA from 1 species